CUCUCUUGCCCAGGCUGGAGUACAGUGGCCCGAUCUCAGUUCACUGCAACCUCCGCCUCCUCAAUUCAAACUUUUCUCCUGCCUCAGCCUCCCAAGUAACUGGGAUUAUUGGUGUGUGUCACCAUGCCUGGCUAAUUUUUUGUGUUUUUAGUAGAGAUGGGGUUUCACCAUGUUGGCCAGACUGGUCUUGAACUACUAACCUCAAGUGAUCCGCCUGCCUUGGCCUCCCAAAGUGCUGGGAUUACAGGCGUAAGCCACUGCACCCAGCCAAAUACUUCAUUUUAAAGUUUGGCAAAGGCAUAAACAGAAAGUAAAGAAUGAGACAAGGGAUUAUAAAGAUGGGCUUGAUGUAAAUCAAUUUCUAAUAGAUCUUUCCAGUUCUGGUUGUAAUGAAUGUGAUCACAGAUUUUUCUCAUAGGUCAGUUAUUUUAAUAACACAUUAAUUUGUCAGAAACCAUGCAUCUAGGCCACAGGAAGAGUUCAGAAUCAUUUUCUUAUCAAUGCUUCUUAUUUUCUCAGAGUUUUAAUAUUUUUGAGGAUUACAUGAUGAAAUGGAAUAUUGCAACUGUAGAAAAAAAUGGCAAAUACUGAGCCAAAAUUGGUUCUUACAUACUUGUUGGUAAAAAUCAAGAGGAAAUUAAAUAUUUUUUAAAAGCACAAAAUAAACAAUAUUGUAGCAAUGAAUUAAGGAACAAACUAUAGGACUCACUUCCAUUCCUGAGAUAACAUCUAGUUAGUUAUUAAAUGCUUUCUAUCUCUAUAGAGUAAAGGCUCAAUAAAUGAUACAUUUGUUGGGCUCAUACUGCCUUUUUCACUUAAAAGUAUUGAAUAAUCUUGCAUAGAAAUGACCCCCUUCUGGUACACAUCCAAGAUUGAGUACUGAAAUAACUGUAAAACUCUCAUAGGCAGUCUCUUAAGUACAGUUACACAUCGCUUAACGAGGGGGUCAUGUUCUGAGAAAUGUACAGGUAGCAGAUUUCCUCAUUUUUUGCACACCGCAGAGUACACUCACAAAAACCUAAAUGGAACAGCCUACUACACACCUAGGUUUUAUGGGAUAGCCUGUUGUUCCCAGGCUGCAAACCUGUGCACCAUGUUACUGUGCUGAGCACUCUGGGCAAUUGCAACAGAAUGGUAAGUAUCUGUGUAUCCAAACAUAUCUAAAUAUAGAAAAUGGGCCAGGCCUGGUAGCUCACGCCUGUAACCCCAGCACUUUGGGAGACUGAGAGAGGAGGAUCCCUUGAGCCCAGGAGUUUGAGACCAGACUAAGCAACAUAAUGAGGUUCUUGUCUUGAUGAAUUUUUUUUAAAAAAACUAGCUGGGCGUGGAGGUGCACACCUGUGGUUCCAGCUACUUGGGAGGCUGAGUUAGGAGGAUUGCUUAAGCCCGUGAGGUGGAGGUUGCAGUGAGCCAUGAUCACACCACUGCACUCCAGUAUAGGAAACAGUAAGACCCUGUCUCGAAAGAAAGAAAGAAAGAAAGGAAAGAAAGAAAGAUGAAAGAAAGAAAGAAAGAAAGAAAGAAAGAAAGAAAGAAAGAAAGAAAGAAAGAAAAUGUAUAGUAAAAAUACAGUACUAAAAUCGAAUGGGACCAAUGUUGUAUAUGCAAUUUGUCACUGACUGAAACAUUGUUAUGUGUUGCGUGGCUUGUGUUAAUAGGUCUAAAUAACCACAGAGGACUAGACAUUCAUUGGACCUAUCACCUGCUUCUUAAAUAAGCAUGUGAUAUUAGGCCCUGGAGGUAACAAUCAGCACUUAAAAUACUCCCUGGCACAUACUGACUGCCCCAAAAUAUUUGUUGAUAAAUGAAUGGAUGGAUCAAUGAAUGAGAAAAAGAAAUCUAUCUAUUUGUAGGAGAAAAGAGGGUUAUAUGCCAAAAACUAAGCAACCAAACCCAGUUUUUGAAUUCUUCUACUCAGCAUCUCAAAUUUAAAACUUUUGGUUCAACAGCCUGUGUUUACAUAGGCUAUUGUUUAGAAGAGUUGAUACAGCUUUCAAACAAAGCAGCAUGUACAACACUUGUUGCAGCUUUGUAUAUGGUAGCUAAAGGUUACAGCCUGUAAUCCCAGCACUUUGCGAGGCCAAAGUGUGAGGACUGUUUGAGGCUGGAGUGCCGUGGUAUAAUUUCAGGUGACUGCAACCUCCACCUCCUGGAUUGAAGUGAUUCUCCUGCCUCAGCCUCCUGAGUAGCUGGGACUACAGGCAUGCGCCACCACACCUGGCUAAUUUUCGUAUUUUUGUAGAGAUGGAGUUUUGUCAUGUUGGACAAGCUGGUCUCAAACUCCUGGCAUCAAGGGAUCCACCAGCCUUGGCCCCCCAAAGUACUGGGACUACUUCCCUGUAUGUUGCGGGAAGUCAGGAACAUGAAACGGAGGGACCGGCUGAAGCCAUGGCAGAAGAACGUGGAUUGUAAAUCUUUCAUGGACAUUUAUUAGUUCCCCAAAUUAAUACUUUUAUAAUUUCUUAUGCCUGUCUUUACUGCAGUCUCUGAACAUGGAUUGUGAAGAUUUCAUGCACACUUAUCACUUCCCCAAUGGAUACCCUUGUCAUUUCCUAUGCUUGUCUUUACUUUAAUCUCUUAAUCCUGUCAUCUCGUAAGCUGAGGAGGAUGUAUGUCGCCUCAGGACCCUGUGAUGAUUGCGUUAACUGCACCAAUUGUAGAGCAUGUGUGUUUGAACAAUAUGAAAUCUGGGCACCUUGAAAAAAGAAAAGGAUAACAGCAAUGUUCAGGGAACAAGAGAGAUAACCUUAAACUCUGACCGCCGGUGAGCUGGGCGGAACAGAGCCAUAUUUCUCUUCUUUCAAAAGCAAAUGGGAGAAAUAUCGAUGAAUUAUUUUUCUCAGCAAGGAAUAUCCCUGAGAAAGAGAAUGCGUCCCUGAGGGUGGGCCUCAAAAAUGGCCCCCUUGGGUGUGGCCAUUUUUUAUGGUCAAGCUGUAGGGAUGAAAUAAGCCCCAGACUCCCAUAGCGCUCCCAGGCUUAUUAGGACGAGGAAAUUCCCGCCUAAUAAAUUUUUGGUCAGACUGGUUGUCUGCUCUCAAACCCUGUCUCCUGAUAAGAUGUUAUGAAUGACAAUGCAUGCCGAAACUUCAUUAGCAAUUUUAAUUUCGCCCCAUCCUGUGGUCCUGUGAUCUCGCCCUGCCUCCAUUCGUCUUGUGAUAUUCUAUUACCUUGUGAAGCACGUUAUCUCUGUGACCCAUACCCUAUUUGUACACUCCCUCCCCUUUUGAAAAUCACUAAUAAAAACUUGCCAGUUUUAUGGCUCAGGGGGCAUCACGGAACCUACCGACAUGUGAUGUCUCCCCUAGACGCCCAGCUUUAAAAUUUCUCUCUUUUGUACUCUGUCCCUUUAUUUCUCAAACUGGCCGACACUUAGGGAAAAUAGAAAACAACGUACGUGAAAUAUCAGGGGUGAAUUUUGCCUGAUAUCUGGCUGAAUUUCCCCCGAUACCUGUAGUUACAGCUACUUGGGAGGCUGAGGCAGAAGAAUCACUUGAACCCGGG
rnacentral:lncRNA from 1 species